CUGAAUAACACAGCUGAUCGCACAGUCUUCGUACUGGCGACUUAUCUUUCAAGUGUCUGCCUUAUCAGCUGUCGAUGGUAUUCUAUGCGUCUACCAUGGCUGUAACGGGUAACGGAGAAUAAGGGUUCGACUCCGGAGAGGGAGCCUGAGAAACGGCUACCACAUCCAAGGAAGGCAGCAAGCGCGCAAAUUACCCACUCUCGGCAUGAGGAGGUAGUGACGAAAAAUAACGAGGUGGUUCUCUAAGAGGCCCACUAUCGGAAUGGGUACAAUUUAAACCCUUUAACGAGGACCUAUGAGAGGGCAAGUCUGGUGCCAGCAGCCGCGGUAAUUCCAGCUCUCAAGGUGUAUAUCGCCAUUGCUGCGGUGAAAAA
rnacentral:rRNA from 1 species